rnacentral:rRNA from 1 species
AGAGAGAGACAUGCGCGCAUAUCAAUAAGCGGAGGAAAAGAAACUAACAAGGAUUCCCCUAGUAACGGCGAGUGAAGCGGGAAGAGCUCAAAUUUGAAAUCUUAAAGGGUUUCCCUUUACGAAUUGUAGUUUAAAGAAGUGUUUUCUGUUGAGGUUUUGGUAAAAGUUCUUUGGAAUAGGACAUCAUAGAGGGUGAGAAUCCCGUAUUUGACCUUUACUUUCAACUUUGUGAUACACUUUCAAAGAGUCGGAUUGUUUGGGAAUGCAGUCCAAAAUGGGUGGUAAAUUUCAUCUAAGCUAAAUAUUGGCGAGAGACCGAUAGCGAACAAGUACCGUGAGGGAAAGAUGAAAAGAACUUUGAAAAGAGAGUUAAACAGUACGUGAAAUUGUCAAAAGGGAAGCGUUUGACACCAGUGUUGUUUUUCUGAAAAUCAAUUAAAGAACUGUUUAUGCUAAGUUGUUUAGACUUUAUCAGCUAACUGUUUAGUUUUGAGCUUUUCUUUAAUGCACUUUUCAGUUAACAAGUCAACAUCAAUUUCUUUUGCUGUAAAAAAGCUUGAGGAAGGUGGCUUGAGAUUCGUCUUAAGUGUUUAUAGCCUCUUGCCUAUGCAGUCGGAGAGAUUGAGGUCUGCAGCGUAGAUCCUUCGGGGCUAAAUGCAUUUGUGCUAAGUUAUAGCAUUUUAUAGACAACUUGUUGACUAUGAUUUGUCUUGUAGCUUACUCGCUUAUGUUAUUUUACCUACGCUUAGGAUGUUGAGCGCAUGUCUCUCUCU